AUACUCCCUACGUUUUAUAAUAUAAGUCAUUUGAUUUUUUUAGUCAAAGUUCUUUAUGUUUGACUAAAUUUAUAGAAAAAAUUAGCAAUAUUUAUAACACUAACAUAGUUUUAUUAAAUAUAACAUUGAAUAUAUCUUGAUAAUAUGUUUGUUUUGUAUUAAAAAUGUUACUAUAUUUUUCUAUAAACAUGGUCAAA
rnacentral:snRNA from 1 species